AGAGUUUGAUCCUGGCUCAGGACGAACGCUGGCGGCGUGCCUAAUACAUGCAAGUCGAGCGGAUCUUCAUUAGCUUGCUUUUGAAGAUCAGCGGCGGACGGGUGAGUAACACGUGGGUAACCUGCCCAUAAGACUGGGAUAACUCCGGGAAACCGGGGCUAAUACCGGAUAACAUUUUGAACUGCAUGGUUCGAAAUUGAAAGGCGGCUUCGGCUGUCACUUAUGGAUGGACCCGCGUCGCAUUAGCUAGUUGGUGAGGUAACGGCUCACCAAGGCAACGAUGCGUAGCCGACCUGAGAGGGUGAUCGGCCACACUGGGACUGAGACACGGCCCAGACUCCUACGGGAGGCAGCAGUAGGGAAUCUUCCGCAAUGGACGAAAGUCUGACGGAGCAACGCCGCGUGAACGAUGAAGGCCUUCGGGUCGUAAAGUUCUGUUGUCAGGGAAGAACAAGUACCGGAGUAACUGCCGGUACCUUGACGGUACCUGACCAGAAAGCCACGGCUAACUACGUGCCAGCAGCCGCGGUAAUACGUAGGUGGCAAGCGUUGUCCGGAAUUAUUGGGCGUAAAGCGCGCGCAGGCGGUUCCUUAAGUCUGAUGUGAAAGCCCCCGGCUCAACCGGGGAGGGUCAUUGGAAACUGGGGAACUUGAGUGCAGAAGAGGAGAGCGGAAUUCCACGUGUAGCGGUGAAAUGCGUAGAGAUGUGGAGGAACACCAGUGGCGAAGGCGGCUCUCUGGUCUGUAACUGACGCUGAGGCGCGAAAGCGUGGGGAGCGAACAGGAUUAGAUACCCUGGUAGU
rnacentral:rRNA from 1 species